GGACCUCCUGCUUUGGGAUCCUGUGUUCCUGACACUAACCAGUAUCUAACCAUCCAACCUCUGGAAACCAGCAUCUACUCUUCACUUGAAAGGUUAUAUUGAACGUCAACAUCAAGAAAAUCAGAUCUGAAGAGAUGGAUACAGAAGUGGUUUGUGCUUAGUGAAAGAUAUACCCAGAAGUGCUGUGAACCAC
rnacentral:lncRNA from 1 species